GAUGAACGCUGACAGAAUGCUUAACACAUGCAAGUCGAUGGGGAAGUGGUGCUUGCACCCUGGUAACCAUGGCGGACGGGUGAGUAACGCGUAAGGAACUUGCCUGCGGGACUGGGAUAACAGCAGGAAACUGCUGAUAAUACCGGAUAAGGUCAUUAAGCUGCAUAGCUUAGUGAUGAAAGGAGACGCCUGCGGAGAGCCUUGCGUCCUAUUAGCUAGUUGGAGGGGUAACGGCCCACCAAGGCGAAGAUAGGUAGCCGGCCUGAGAGGGUGGACGGCCACAAGGGGACUGAGAUACGGCCCUACCUCCUACGGGAGGCAGCAGUGGGGAAUAUUGGACAAGGGGGGCAACCCUGAUCCAGCAAUUCUGUGUGCACGAAGACGGUUUUCGGAUUGUAAAGGGCUUUCAGCAGGGAAGAAGGAAGUGACGGUACCUGCAGAAGAAGCGACGGCUAAAUACGUG
rnacentral:rRNA from 1 species